GUUUGAUUGUUAAAUAUACAAAUUAUGUGAAGAUAAAAAAAAUCAUUAAAAUGCAAUUAUUUCAGCAAUGUAAGUUUAUGGCUAUAUAAGUACAUUAAAAGACCAACUUUGUAGGUCUUUAUGUGCUUAAUAAAACUGAAUAAUUUGCUAAAAUAAUCUUUGGUGGCAGUAGCAAGUAAAUUUUGUAUUUCCAUUUGACUUGAAGCAUAUUCCAGGUAUAUUAAAAAAAGAUUACUGCAUUUUAAACCAUAUGUCCCCAUAUUGGGUGUGAAGAACAACAGUGCUGGUGCAGGAAAAAAAAAAAAAAGAGAGAAUGAUGUGUGUAUAAUCUCUUCUUCUGCAUCCAGUAUUGCAGGUUGAAACUGUUGCCAGUGGAAAGUUGUUCAGCCAAAGAUGGAGAAGGGCAGGAAAGCCCCGAAGCACACCUUGUCAUCAGGUUGUUUGCAGCACUUCCUGCCUUCGCCCUUCCACAUCGCUGAGACACGUGAGAUGCAAACAGUGAGACAGCUCAGGACGUUUUACCACCGCCUGCAUUACGUUGUGAUGGCAGAUGUUGAACGUGGCCAAAGCUGAUGUUGGGGGCUGCCUGAGAGUGAACGGGGUGAAGGUACCCACAAACACUGGGAUGUUUGUCCCCUUCAGGAGAUGUUCUUUCUUUUCCAUUCCCCAUUCAGCACUCUUUUUCCCCACCCAGCUCAUCUUUGACUUCAUUUUGUUUAUAUAGUAAUGAAGCCAAUAAGGCACAGUGCUGAGAUGAUAUAUCGAAUGUCCCCACCGUUAGGGAUUAGAGGACUUUAUGGUAAAGCAGAUUAUUACUUAAAUAUCAGCAUGUUUGUGGUUGAAUAAUUGCUAUACCUGAAAUCCUUUUCAAUCAGCAGCUUGUGCUGAAAAUGUCAUGCAUCAUAAAGAGAGGUUUUGAACCUGGCUCUUUUGCUGCUGUCCCUGGAGACGGUACAAGGAAUCAAUAAUAAAUUUAAGACCUGGCAGGUUUCA
rnacentral:lncRNA from 1 species